CCUACGGGAGGCAGCAGUGAGCAAUAUUGGUCAAUGGACGAGAGUCUGAACCAGCCAAGUAGCGUGAAGGAUGACUGCCCUAUGGGUUGUAAACUUCUUUUAUAUGGGAAUAAAACGUUCCACGUGUGGGAUUUUGUAUGUACCAUAUGAAUAAGGAUCGGCUAACUCCGUGCCAGCAGCCGCGGUAAUACGGAGGAUCCGAGCGUUAUCCGGAUUUAUUGGGUUUAAAGGGAGCGUAGGUGGAUUGUUAAGUCAGUUGUGAAAGUUUGCGGCUCAACCGUAAAAUUGCAGUUGAAACUGGCAGUCUUGAGUACAGUAGAGGUGGGCGGAAUGCGUGGUGUAGCGGUGAAAUGCUUAGAUAUCACGAAGAACUCCGAUUGCGAAGGCAGUUCACUGGACUGCAACUGACACUGAGGCUCGAAAGUGUGGGUAUCAAACAGGAUUAGAUACCCCAGUAGUC
rnacentral:rRNA from 1 species